rfam:Haemonchus contortus, ISE/inbred ISE, WGS project CAVP01000000 data, contig: Hcontortus_7297
GGCCCAAACUUGAAGUAAGGUAGAUUAGUAAGGUCACCUGAUCCUACUAUUCUACAGUACUUUGAAACUGGGCCC